rnacentral:rRNA from 1 species
UACGUAGGGUGCGAGCGUUGUCCGGAAUUACUGGGCGUAAAGAGCUCGUAGGUGGUUUGUCGCGUUGUCCGUGAAAACUCACAGCUUAACUGUGGGCGUGCGGGCGAUACGGGCAGACUGGAGUACUGCAGAGGAGAAUGGAAUUCCUGGUGUAGCGGUGAAAUGCGCAGAUAUCAGGAAGAACACCCGUGGCGAAGGCGGUUCUCUGGGCCGUAACUGACGCUGGAGGAGCGAAAGCAUGGGGAGCGAACAGG